UGAUUUUUCAGAAAUUCAGAA
rnacentral:piRNA from 1 species